rnacentral:rRNA from 1 species
AACGACUCUCGGCAACGGAUAUCCCGGCUCUCGCAUCGAUGAAGAACGUAGCGAAAUGCGAUACUUGGUGUGAAUUGCAGAAUCCCGUGAACCAUCGAGUUUUUGAACGCAAGUUGCGCCCGAUGCCAUUAGGUUGAGGGCACGUCUGCCUGGGUGUCACGU